rnacentral:rRNA from 1 species
AACGAAGGUGGCUAGCGUUGUUCGGAAUUACUGGGCAUAAAGCGCACGUAGGUGGCCUCGUGUGUCGAUGGUGAAAUCCUGCAGCUUAACUGUAGAAUUGCCGUCGAAACUACGGGGCUAGAGGGCAGGAGGGGAGAGUGGAAUUCCUAGUGUAGCGGUGAAAUGCGUAGAUAUUAGGAGGAACGCCGGUGGCUAAAGCGACUCUCUGGAUGGCUACUGACACUGAGGUGCGAAAGCUAGGGGAGCAAACAGG